GGACUGAUUUUGGGGUGAAAAAAUUGCCAUUUUUUGGGUAGGUUUUAGGGUAAAAAUUCCCAAAUUUGGGGUGGAUUUUGGGGUAAAAAUUCCCAGUUUUGGGGUAAAAAUUCCUGGUUUUGGGUGGAUUUUAAGGUGGAAAUUCCCAUUUUUGGGGUAAAGUUUGGGGUAAAAAUUCCCAGGUUUUGGGUGGAUUUUUGGGGUAAAAAUUCCUGAUUUUGGGGUGGGUUUUAGGCUGAGUGUUCCCAGUUUUGGGGUAAGAUUUGGGGUAAAAAUGCCCUUUUUUGGGGUAAAUAUCCCUGAUUUUGGGGUGGAUUUUUAGGUGGAAAUUCCCAGUUUUGGGGUAAAAAUUCCUAUUUUUGGGGUAAAAAUUCCUAUUUUUGGGGUGGAUUUCAAAGGGAAAAUUCCCAUUUUUCGGGUGGGUUUUAGGGUGGAAAUUCCCAAUUUUGGGGUAAAAAUUCCUGAUUUUGGGGUGGAUAUUGGGGUAAAAAUUCCCAGGUUUGGGGUGGAUUUUAAGGUGGAAAUUCCCAGUUUUGGUGUAAAGUUUGGGCUAAAAAUUCCCAUUUUUGGGGUAAAUAUUCCCAGUUUUGGGGUGGAUUUUAAGGUGGAAAUUCCCAAUUUUGGGGUGGAUUUUGGGGUAAAAAUUUCCAUUUUUGGCUGGAUUUCAAGGUGCAGUUUUGGGUGGAAUGUCUGGUUUUGGUUGGUGGAGUUUGGGGUGAAAAUGUUCGGAUUUGGGGUGGAUUUGAGGACGGAUUUUGGGGUGAAAAUUCCCGGUUUGGGGUGGCUGUGGUGGUGAAUUUUGGGGUGAAAAUUCCCAGGUUUGGGGUCUCGUUAUAAAGUUAGAAUUCCCAAUUUUGGGGUGGAUUUUGGGGUAAAAAAAAUCUCAUUUUUGGGGUAAAAAUUCCCACAUUGGAGGUGGAUUUAGGAGUAAAAAUUCCCAAUUUUGGGGUUAAAAUUCAGAGUUUUGGGGUAAAAAUUCCCAAUUUUGGGGUGGAUUUCAGGGUAAAAAUUCCCAGGGUGGGGGUGGAUUUUGGAGUAAAAAUUCCCAGUUUUGGGGUAAAAAUUCCCUUUUUUGGGGUGGAAUUUGAGUUAAAAAAUCCCAGUUUUAGGUUGGAUUUUGGGGUUAAGUUUGGAGUUUUGGAUGGAUUUUGGGGUGAAAAUGCCCAUUUUUGGGGUGUAAUUUGGGUUAAAAAUUCCCAGUUUUGGGGUGGACUUUGGGGUGAAAAUACUGAAUUUCGGGGUGAAAAUUCCCAUUUCUGGGGUGGAUUUUGGGUUAAAAAUUCCCAUUUUUAGAAUGGAUUUUGAGGUUAAAGUUCAGAGUUUUGGGGUUAAAAUGCCCAUUUUUGGGGUGGAUUUUGGGUUAAAAAUUGCCAUAAUUAGGGUGGACUUCGGGGUUAAAGUUUGGAAUUCUGGGGUGGAAUUUGGGUUUAAAAUUCCCAGUUUAGGGCUGGAUUUUGGGUUAAAAAUGCCCGCUUUUGGGGUGGGUUUUGGAGUUAAAAUACGGAAUUUUGGGGUAAAAAUGCCCACGUUUGGGGUGGGGUUUGGAUUAAAAGUUCCCACUUUUGGGGUGGAUUGUGGGUUAAAAAUUCCCAUUUUUAGGGUGGAUUUUGGGUUAAAAUUUCCUAUUUUUAGGGUGGAUUUUGAGGUUAAAGUUCAGAGUUUUGGGGUGGAUUUUGUGGUGAAAAUGCCCACUUUUGGGGCGGACUUAGGAGUAAAAAAAUCCAAGUUUUGGUGUAAAAAUUCCCAUUUUUAGGAUGGAUUUUGGGUUAAAAAUUCCCAUUUUUUUAGGGUGGACUUUGGGGUUAAAAUUUGGAAUUUUGGGGUGGGUUUGGGGGUGAAAAUUCCAAUUUCUGGGGUGGAUUUUGGGUUAAAAAUUCCCAUUUUUAGGGUGGGUUUUGGGUUAAAAAUUACCAUUUUUAGGCUGAAUUUCAAGGUUAAAGUUGGGAGCUUUGGGAUGGAUUUUGGGGUGAAAAUUCCCAUUUCUGGGGUGGGUUUUGGGGUGAAAUCUCCGUUCCUGGGGGUUUCUGACCGGUGCCCAUUGCAGGUGGCACCGGGGGGUGACCGCGGUGGCCUCGUGCGGGGGUGAAAACGCUCAGGUUGCAGGUGGAUUUUGGGAUGGAAACGCCCGCUCUGAGGGCGGAUUUUGGGGUAAAAAUGUCCUUUUUGGGGUCAAAAUGUGCAAGCGGGGCUGGAUUUUGGGGUGAAAGCUGCUGCUUUUGGGUGGAUUUUGGGGGAGGAUUUGGGGCAGAUUUUGGAGGUGAAAAUGCCCAAUUUGAGGGGGGAAUUUAGGGCGGAAUUGUCCAUUUCGGGGGCGGAUUUUGGGCUGGAAUUGGCCAGUUUUGGGGCCGGAUUUUGGGGUGAAACUUCCCAAUUUGGGGGGUGGAUUUUGGGGUGAAGUUUUCCAGUUUUGGGGGUGGAUUUUGGGCUGGAAUUUGCCAUUUUGGGGGCGGAUUUUGGAGGUGAAAAUGCCCAGUUUGAGGGGGGAUUUUGGGCUGAAAUUUGCCAUUUUGGGGGCGCAUUUUGGGGUGAAAUUUUCCAGUUUUGGGGGCGGAUUUUGGGGUGAAAUUUUCCAGUUUUGGGGGCGAAUUUUUGGGGUGAAACCGCCCAGUUUGGGGGGUGGAUUUUGGGGUGACCUUGCCCAGUUUGGGGGUGGAAUUUGGGGUGAAAUCUCUGAGUUUUGGGGUCGCUGUUGAGCUGGAAGUUCCCAUUCUGGGGGUUGGCUUUGGGGGGGCAUUUUGGGUCAGAUUUGGGAGAUUUUGGGGCAGAUUUGGGGUAAGAUUUUGGGUCAGAUUUGGGGGAUUUUGGGUCACUUUUGGGGGAUUUUGGGUCUGGGGGCUUUGAGCUGUGCCCCAUCUCAGGAUCUUUGGGGUCACUCGGGGGGGGCGGGGGUCACUCCGGGGUCACUCAGGGGUCACUCUGUGGGGGCGGGGCCACGCGGGGGUCGCUCUCCGGUCGCUCUCGGGGUCACCCUGGGGUCGCCCCGCGGGUCCCCAUGUGGGGUCACCGCGGGCGGGGGUCGCUCCUCAGGUCACCCAGGGGUCACCCAGGGGUCACGGCGGGGUCACUCCGACCCCUCCCCCGCGCCGGCGCCGCCGCUCCAGGGACGCUCGGGAGCCGGUACGUGCGGGGGAGGGGCCCGGCGGGGCCGGGGACCCCCAGAAACGGCUCCGGACCCCCGGAUUUUGGGGUCAGGGGGGUCCAAAACCCCCCCCUCUCCCCUCCCCCACCCCUCGCUGGGGCCGCCGUGGGUCCUCCCGGCCGCUGGGGGGCGCUGUGGCGCGGCCCCGCCCCCCCCCUCACCCCUCUCUUCUCUUGCAGCUCCGCUCCCCCGAAGCUCCGCCCCUGACUUCAGGCCCCGCCCCCUUUUCCCUGCUCCCGACCCGCCCCUUUUAUCUUCAAGCUCCGCCCCUUUCUCCUGUCCAAGCUCCGCCCAUUUCUCCUGACCACGCCCCCUGCUUUGGCCCCGCCCUCUCCUGUUUGAGCCCCGCCCCUUUCUUCAGACCCCGCCCCCCUUUCUUCA